GAAUAUUGGUCAAUGGACGAGAGUCUGAACCAGCCAAGUAGCGUGAAGGAUGACUGCCCUAUGGGUUGUAAACUUCUUUUAUAUGGGAAUAAAGUAUUCCACGUGUGGGAUUUUGUAUGUACCAUAUGAAUAAGGAUCGGCUAACUCCGUGCCAGCAGCCGCGGUAAUACGGAGGAUCCGAGCGUUAUCCGGAUUUAUUGGGUUUAAAGGGAGCGUAGGUGGAUUGUUAAGUCAGUUGUGAAAGUUUGCGGCUCAACCGUAAAAUUGCAGUUGAAACUGGCAGUCUUGAGUACAGUAGAGGUGGGCGGAAUUCGUGGUGUAGCGGUGAAAUGCUUAGAUAUCACGAAGAACUCCGAUUGCGAAGGCAGCUCACUAGACUGCAACUGACACUGAUGCUCGAAAGUGUGGGUAUCAAACAGGAUUAGAUACCCUGGUAGUCCACACAGUAAACGAUGAAUACUCGCUGUUUGCGAUAUACAGUAAGCGGCCAAGCGAAAGCAUUAAGUAUUCCACCUGGGGAGUACGCCGGCAACGGUGAAACUCAAAGGAAUUGACGGGGGCCCGCACAAGCGGAGGAACAUGUGGUUUAAUUCGAUGAUACGCGAGGAACCUUACCCGGGCUUAAAUUGCAUUUGAAUAAUCUGGAAACAGGUUAGCCGCAAGGCAAAUGUGAAGGUGCUGCAUGGUUGUCGUCAGCUCGUGCCGUGAGGUGUCGGCUUAAGUGCCAUAACGAGCGCAACCCUUAUCUUUAGUUACUAACAGGUCAUGCUGAGGACUCUAGAGAGACUGCCGUCGUAAGAUGUGAGGAAGGUGGGGAGGACGUCAAAUCAGCACGGCCCUUACGUCCGGGGCUACACACGUGUUACAAUGGGGGGUACAGAAGGCAGCUACCGGGGGACAGGAUGCUAAUCCCAAAAACCUCUCUCAGUUCGGAUCGAAGUCUGCAACCCGACUUCGUGAAGCUGGAUUCGCUAGUAAUCGCGCAUCAGCCAUGGCGCGGUGAAUACGUUCCCG
rnacentral:rRNA from 1 species